UCGGCUAGGGGGCCAUCCCGGCUUACCAACCCGAUGCAAACUGCGAAUACCGGAGAAUGUUAUCACGGGAGACACACGGCGGGUGCUAACGUCCGUCGUGAAGAGGGAAACAACCCAGACCGCCAGCUAAGGUCCCAAAGUCAUGGUUAAGUGGGAAACGAUGUGGGAAGGCCCAGACAGCCAGGAUGUUGGCUUAGAAGCAGCCAUCAUUUAAAGAAAGCGUAAUAGCUCACUGGUCGAGUCGGCCUGCGCGGAAGAUGUAACGGGGCUAAACCAUGCACCGAAGCUGCGGCAGCGACGCUGAUGCGUUGUUGGGUAGGGGAGCGUUCUGUAAGCCUGUGAAGGUGGCCUGUGAGGGUUGCUGGAGGUAUCAGAAGUGCGAAUGCUGACAUAAGUAACGAUAAAGCGGGUGAAAAGCCCGCUCGCCGGAAGACCAAGGGUUCCUGUCCAACGUUAAUCGGGGCAGGGUGAGUCGACCCCUAAGGCGAGGCCGAAAGGCGUAGUCGAUGGGAAACGGGUUAAUAUUCCCGUACUUGGUGUUACUGCGAAGGGGGGACGGAGAAGGCUAUGUUGGCCGGGCGACGGUUGUCCCGGUUUAAGCGUGUAGGUGUGUGUUCCAGGUAAAUCCGGUUCACUUUAACACUGAGGCGUGAUGACGAGGCACUACGGUGCUGAAGCAACAAAUGCCCUGCUUCCAGGAAAAGCCUCUAAGCAUCAGGUAACAUCAAAUCGUACCCCAAACCGACACAGGUGGUCAGGUAGAGAAUACCAAGGCGCUUGAGAGAACUCGGGUGAAGGAACUAGGCAAAAUGGUGCCGUAACUUCGGGAGAAGGCACGCUGACAC
rnacentral:rRNA from 1 species